rnacentral:rRNA from 1 species
UACGUAGGGGGCAAGCGUUAUCCGGAUUUACUGGGUGUAAAGGGAGCGUAGACGGCAUGGCAAGUCUGAAGUGAAAGCCCGGGGCUUAACCGCGGGACUGCUUUGGAAACUGUUAAGCUAGAGUGCAGGAGAGGUAAGUGGAAUUCCUAGUGUAGCGGUGAAAUGCGUAGAUAUUAGGAGGAACACCAGUGGCGAAGGCGGCUUACUGGACUGUAACUGACGCUGAGGCACGAAAGUGUGGGGAUCAAAC